GGUCAGGCGGGACUACCCGCUGAAUUUAAG
rnacentral:rRNA from 1 species